GAACAAAAUUUUGUAGAGCUUCCUUUUAGUAAUCUUGCACCAGCAACAAAGCUCUCCUGAGUUUUUGCCUUAAGGGAAUAAAAUGACAAGGGGCAUGCAAUUCCUCUGCUUUUCGGAAAAUGUGAACAUGUUCCUUCUACCUUGUGUGAUAAAUUUGAACCGUGACAGAAACUUUCGUGAAAGCCACGACUUUUCAGCCAAACCUCCAAAGCACGCGGCACAGAUUCCAUCCAGCCUUUGUUCCGCUCGGGCGUCUAUUGUAGAAAAGUUUUUCACUAAAUCUGGCAUGGGAAGAAAAUUACAUUAUAACCGGGUCUGUGGAAUUUCUCUGCUAUAAGUCCUUUUCCUCCAUUUUUCUUUGAUUAAGUUAUACUUGCUAAAAAAUGUAGUGAUAUCAAGUUCUUCUUUACUACUUUAUCCUAUAUGGCUUUUAGUCUAUCUUUACCCUCUUUUCCUUUUAUAUAUAUCAAAUUAUUUUUCUAGUGCAUCUUUUGGCCUAUAUUAUAUAUGUCCAAAUCAUAUAAAUCAUCCUUCUUUUAAUUUGUCUUCAGCUAGUGCAAUAUGUACCUUUUCACAAAUGAUUUACUUAACCAUAUUCUCCUUUUUUUUUUCAUAUGUGAUAAAUAUCCGUGUUAAACUAUCCCCACUGCAAGGUGUGUGCUAGUGGUUACAACGCAAAUUUGUUGAGCUGCUGUUUCUGUUCUGAGCAUAACUGACCACUCUAAAAUAGAUCUAAAGACGAGGAUAAAUAUCUAUUUUUUGAUAAAAAGAUUUCAUCUUUGGCACCCAGUAGCUUCAUGUUCUGCUUCACAGGUUCACUAAAUGCUUUUGCUUCAAAUGUAAUGGGAUAUUUAUUCUUAUUUUAUCAUCCGAUUAUGAUAGAUGACUACCACGUCUCCAUGGAGGGUGCCGACUAGAAUAUGUUUUCAGCUUGACAAAGGAAAGAUCAACAAACCCACAUGAUAAAACUAAAUAAAGUAAAUAAACAUUAGAUAAUCUAGG
rnacentral:lncRNA from 1 species